rnacentral:rRNA from 1 species
CGUAAUAAUAGAAACUAACCAGGAUUCCCUUAGUAACGGCGAGUGAACUGGGAUACCCAAUAUACCAUCUUGUGCGUACCUUCGGUGCGUACAAAAUUUUAGCCCGUCGAUACUAUCCUAGCAUAGUACUGGCUUCGGCCGGUAAACUAUCUAUGCGGGAAUUGUAGCAUCGUACAACAAAAAUAUAUUAUACACUGUAUAUACGCGCAUUGCAACACACACUUAUAUCCUACACUGCGUAUACGUACACUUGUAAACACACAGCGCUCCCGCGUUGGAAAGCAAGUCUAUAUCCUUUUUGGGUAUGCCAUAGAGUGUGACAGCCACGUUUCAACUCUCGUACGUACGCACACACACUGCACAUGCAUGCGUUAUAUAUAUACACACGUAUUUUAUAUAACCUGAGUCGAGUUAUUU